UACGAAGGGGGCUAGCGUUGCUCGGAAUCACUGGGCGUAAAGGGUGCGUAGGCGGGUCUUUAAGUCAGGGGUGAAAUCCUGGAGCUCAACUCCAGAACUGCCUUUGAUACUGAGGAUCUUGAGUUCGGGAGAGGUGAGUGGAACUGCGAGUGUAGAGGUGAAAUUCGUAGAUAUUCGCAAGAACACCAGUGGCGAAGGCGGCUCACUGGCCCGAUACUCACGCUGAGGCACGAAAGCGUGGGGAGCAAACAGG
rnacentral:rRNA from 1 species